GAUGAACGCUGGCGGCGUGCCUAAUACAUGCAAGUCGAGCGAACGGACGAGAAGCUUGCUUCUCUGAUGUUAUCGGCGGACGGGUGAGUAACACGUGUAUAACCUACCUAUAAGACUGGGAUAACUUCGGGAAACCGGAGCUAAUCCCGGAUAAUAUUUUGAACCGCAUGGUUCAAACGUGAAAGACGGUCUUGCUGUCAGUUAUAGCUGGAUACGGGCUGCAUUAGCUAGUUGGUAAGGUAACGGCUUAUCAAGGCAACGAUGCAUAGCCGACCUGAGAGGGUGAUCGGCCACACUGGAACUGAGACACGGUCCAGACGCCUACGGGAGGCAGCAGUAGGGAAUCUUCCGCAAUGGGCGAAAGCCUGACGGAGCAACGCGGCGUGAGUGAUGAAGGUCUUCGGAUCGUAAAACUCUGUUAUUAGGGAAGAACAUAUGUGUAAGUAACUGUGCACAUCUUGACGGUACCUAAUCAGAAAGCCACGGCUAACUACGUG
rnacentral:rRNA from 1 species